AUGGAGAGGAAGCUGGGAGUUUUGCUGGGGAUUCUCUGUGUGCAGAUUUGCUGGGUGACAGGAGCUGAGGUGGAGCAGAGUCCUUCAGCCCUGAGUCUCCACGAGGGAAAAAGUUCUACUCUGUUAUGCAAUUUUUCCACAACCAUGACAAAUGUGCAGUGGUUCCGGCAGAAUUCCAGGGGCAGCAUCAUCAAAAUUUUCUACCUGAGUCCUGGAACAAAGGAAAAUGGGAGGUUAAAUUCAACAUUUGUCUCCAAGGAGCGCUACAGUACCCUGCGCAUCAGGGAUGCCCAGCUGGAGGACUCAGGCACCUACCUCUGUGCUGCUUAUGCACAGUGCUCCCUGCAAGUCUGCAGCCUGUCUGCAAACUGCAGGUGGGUGUGCAGCUACAGUGCUAACAUGAGGAGACUCUGCAGGAGGCUUUUCACAGCUGUGGCUUUAUCAGAUCUCCACCAAUUAAAAGGUGUGAGGAAAUACAAAAAUACCAGAACUUAA